rnacentral:misc_RNA from 1 species
GCAAACUUGGUCAUUUAGAGGAAGUAAAAGUCGUAACAAGGUUUCCGUAGGUGAACCUGCGGAAGGAUCAUUAACAAUUGUCCACCAUUAUGGAUAAUUUAUCCAUAUCCACCUUGUGUGAAUCAUUGAACUGUUUGUUGGCAGGUUAGGACCUCUCUUGUGAGAGUUUCCGUGGGUCUCUGCUCGGCCUGCCAAUUUCACUUAUGUUUAAACAUGUCUAUAUACUCACUGACUGAAAUUGUAUAUUAUAAUCAAAUACAACUUUCAACAACGGAUCUCUUGGCUCUCGCAUCGAUGAAGAACGCAGC